rnacentral:lncRNA from 1 species
GUCAUUCAGUUGGCUGAACUCUAACAGACUUUGAACCCAGCCUUUUGUGGUGAUAGCACACUGUUAAAGUGAGGACAUUAGUUGAAAGGUAUGAGGUGGAGAUAAGGAGAAGGAACGAGGGGAUCCUUAGCGUUAGAUUGAAAUGUGUGUGAAGACUAAUGAGGCUGGGGACACAGAGCUCCUAAGCUCUGAGGAGACACGUUUGCCAGUGGGCAUGCCCUCUCUCCAUGUUCUCUCCCCAUCCUGUGCCCUACAACAGAGUGGCCUCUACCCACUGCCCUAUGGCACGGCAGCUGGUCCCUCCCACCCCUGCAGAUGGCUACUCACCCACACAAGGAUUGGCUUUUCCCUAUCUGCCUGCAGGCAUUGGCUGGCAUCAUUGCCAAUGAAAACAUCAGUGAUCUCUCCUGAGAAGCCCCGAGCAGGAGAAUGCUGCUUCUCCUCAGGCCUGGCCUUCUUGGUUUCCACCCUGAGAUCUAAAUUCAAGUCAGAUCAGAAUUCCUAAAGUGCAGAACAAAAUGUCACCCUGAGGUGUACUGCAACACAGGAAUCAUGAGAUGCCUGCUUUAUGCAGGCAGGAGUCUGGAGAAAUCUCGUGUGGGAAACAUGAGAGGCCAGGCUAAGUAAAGGGGAAAUGAACUUAUAGCAGCCUGAAUGUGUUUUUUUAAUUGAGAUUUUUUUACAGGUUGUGUUAAGGAUCCAUACACAGACAUUUCAGUUUGUACACAAUUCUUAACAUAUGAAAAAGGUCUAAAAGUGACAUGUUGUGAUUCUUAAUAGCAUACCUUCCAGUGACUUUUCAACUUCAAAUGUGGAGGCAAAUUUUCUACAAGGAGAUAUGAAAUACCAACACAUUCACAUGCUAAUUUACCAUCACAGAAGACCCGCCCAGGUCUCUGGUUUCUACCACACACACUGUACCCACAAAUUUCCCUUCUCAGCACAUUAACAACGUUAUCAAGAAAAGGAGACAGCCAUUCCAAGGGUGCUGCACAGUACACACAUGUCUGACAAGACAAUAGUAUAUUCCAGACAUGUUCAACAUACAACUGUGACUCCAAGUUUCCAUUUCAUAUGUUUUAUAUUAUAGGAUAUAAAAUUAAUUUACCUAUAUGAUGUUAAGCUUAUAACCAAGACAGUCAUAGGCUUCCCUAAUUAAAUGGCCCACUAUUUUCUGGUUAUAUAAAAAAUAAGCAACAACCAGAAAAUGGUUUUGCAGCUUCCUGCUUCUUUCCCUCCUCCUCCACCAUCCACUCUGAGUAGGUAAAUCCAUUUUACUAUGCCAGGCUCCCUACUCCUUCGCACUGAUUCCUUGGCACUCUGUAUUGCUCAUAUUGGUCCUCUUCUGAUCCAUGCUGCAGCCAACAAAUUUAAGGUUAGUGGAUUUUCUUAAUGCUUUAAGCUGUAAGAUGAAGUGUGGUUCCAGCACACUAGGCUUGAUUUCUUUUACCUACUUAAGAAUGGACAAAAUGGUUUCCUUCAAUCUUAAAGAUAUUCUUAGGAUCAUGAAGACUAACUCGGGAUUGCAGUUAUACAGAAAGCAUAACUCUGGUGCUGAGACAUGGUGUUUAUGUGUAGACCUAACGGUCUGAGUUCUGUCCAACAUCCCAUUUGGUAGCAGGAGAACCGACUCCCAAGAGUUGUCCCUCUGAUCUCCGCACAUGCUCUGAGUCACAAAUGCCUGCACACAGAAACACACCACAGAUGGAUGGAUGGACGGGCAGACAGACAGAUGAAUGGAUGGGCAGAAAGGCAGACAGACCGAUGAAAAGAUCUUUUAAAUAUGUUUGGGUUAUACAAGAAGGGAGGGAAGAACAGUGAGGCAUUCGUAGAGUUAGCUUUUGUCUUCCACGGUAGGCUGUACUCUUCCUUUUUAACUUCUCCAUUUUGUGCAGAUAAAUGAUGGGGUUCUUGAUGAGCAGCUUGGGACAUUUUUCAUUUUUCCCUUUGUUUCUGGGUUCUCUUUUGUUUGUACCCUCCCCCCUCCCCAUCUCCAAGAUGGAGUAUCUUUAUAUAGUAGCCCUCAUUGUCCUAGAACCAGCUUUGUAGACCAGACUGGCCUCAAACUCACAGAGAUCUACCUACCUCUCCCUCCUGAGCCCUGGGAUUAAAGGCAUCUUCCAUCACAGCCUGGCUUGUUUCCCCUUUUUUUUAAUUUGGAGGUUUGUUCUUUCCCUUUAAGUUUUUUUUAGCUUUCAGCUCUUACAGUAGUAGGCUCAGCUGACAGUCUCCUCUGGGGCUUUUCCUUCACGGAACCCAGCUGGGUUGUCUUUCUUUGUGGAUGUUUCAGCAGCAGAAAGCCUGUGAGCUGGGUACCAGAAGGCUGUGGCACGCUGAGAGCUCUCACCAAGCCAUGCUGCCUGACUGCUACAGACUAAAACCAUCAGUAUGGGCCCAUUGAGCAGAGGUGGUACAUUUCCUGUUUGGGUUUUUUUGGCUGCAGUGUGCAUCAAAAGGGAGUCAACAUGGCUGAAGUGGAAAUGCCCCAGGAAGGACUGCAAAGGCUUGGGGAUAUUGGAAUGGUAGAGUGGAUUUGCCUAACUCUUCCUCAUGGGAGAGCCAGAGGUAGGCCCUUCCCCAACCAGUUCUUCAAAUGAGUAAUUAAAGGGGCAACCCAGGGCCUUUGAGGAGCUCUGUGAUGAUGCUUUGCUGUAGCCCUACCUUAGAGAGGAAAUCCCUGCCACUCAAGU